UAACACCAAGAUAAUAAUAUAAAGUAAAACAACUCGAAAGGUAUACAUAAUAAGUUUAGAACAACUUCUAUGCAAAGCAUCCCAAGAUGUAAAGUCACGAGUAUAUGAGCUUCUAGAGUUUACUACAUACACUAUUUUGAAAGAAAUACAAUACUAUUUGAAAAGUAGAAGUACAAUAGAAAUAGGAAGGUGAUUCUAAAGCCUGCAAAAGGAAUAUAGCUCUAUCUUGAGUCACCCAUUUCGUAUCCGCUAAGCACCUUUGGGACAUCAUUGGUACCAAGAUUUGGAUCUGCACGAGAAGUGUAGAAUUGUAGUAUGAGUACACCCGAUCCAGUGUAUUCAAUAAGUGUAGAAUUGUAGUAUGAGUACACCCGAUCCAAUGUACUCAGUAAGUAUUGAGCUUAACCUUGACGAGGUAGUGACUAGGCCAAGAUAAGACACCUACAAUAAACAUGUAUAUAUCAAAAAAUAACGAGAUAAUGGAUAAAGUAUAAAAUAUAGCAACGAAAUAAGGACAUGUGAAAGGGAUAACAAGUACAAAAGUAAAGGGACAAUAAACCAAAACAUAAAGUAAAAGUGAAUAAAGAAGCCACAAAGCCAAGUUCACGUUCCAAAUAUUAAAGUAAGCUCAAUGAAAUCAACAAGAUUGUACGACAUCACCCUUCGUGUUUUUACUCUCAUCCUUAUAUCAUAAAAUAAAAACAAGCACAGAAAAACCCUUUGGGCAUAUUCUCACAUUCACUUGGGCACAGAAGCAGCCUCCGUGUAAUAAUAUCAAUAUAUAAAUAAGGCAUUGAAACAUCUCUCGUGCACAAUCAUUCUUCCUUACAAACACGACAAUAUUCUUCGUACAUUUCACUCUUCCUCACAAGCAUGGCAACACUCUUCGUGCAUUUCACUCUUCCUCACCAAACAUCAUAUACAACACAAUACCAAGCAAUGUGGGGAGCAAAUUCCACAUCAACAAUAGUAUUUUAACAUAACUUGUCAUAUGAGAAUCUUCCAACAAUUAGCACCGACAACCAAUCAACAAUUCAACAAUCUCAUAUCAAUAUCUCAAAAUCUUAACAUAAAAAAUAACAUGAAUACGAGAAAUUAAAGAAUUAAAUAAUCUAUCUAAAGCAUGGGAAGCAUAACACACAAAGUAGCACGGCACAAGUAAGACUAAUUCUACCCGCAUGCUUUUCCCAUGGCCAAUGCAUAUACAUUUGUCACCUUGUAUAUAUGCUUCCCCUGACACAUAGAUCACAUAGCAGAUAGACUCGAUUCUACUUUAUUUCCCUCAAAUGAAGGUUAACCAAGAUACUUAUCAAUUUUCGGAACACAAUCAACAAUCCAACACGAUUUUUCCUUUAGAACAAGCCUCCAAACCACAUGUAUCUAGUCAACUGUUGUUCAAUCAAGUCAAACAAGAUUUAGGAACUACCCUCGAAUAAAAAGGUUCAAUAUGUAACAUUAUUGAAAAGGUCAAAAAAAAUCGACCUAGGUAGACGUGGUCGAAAUUUGAAAUUAAUAACACAUACUGAUUACUCAUUCACCUCCGAGUCUGAAUAUGCAGUUAAUUUCGGAAUCCGAUUUCAAUUUGAGGUCUAAAUAUCAAUUUUAUAAAAUCCAUAAAUUUUACCCAAAUUUUCCAAUUUCGAAUUUGAAAUUCUUAAAUUUGAGGAUGAAAUUUAUGAGAAAGUAAUUGAAAUUGAAUAAAAACAAGUCAAGAUUACUAACCUAUGAAUUUGGGAAAAAAUUGCUCUCCAAAAAUCGCAUCUUUGGAGUCUAGGUCUCAAAAAUAGUGUAAAAUGAGUUAAGUCCCAAAAUUCUCACAUUUUACCUAGCUAUAGAUAUUGUAAUUGUGAAUCCUAUACACAAUUGCGACGUCUGCAUAUGCGAACAAUUAUAUGCAAAUGCGAACAACUAUCUACAAAUGCGAAUAAUGUCUGAGCCAUUCAAUUAUUGUGAAUGCGUCAAAACCUUCGCAUUUGCGAAGGUCUCCUUCCUCGUAAAAGUGAAUCAAGAUUCGCAUUUGCGAAGCUGCCCAAACAAUGUCCAGGUCACAAUUAAAAAUGCAAUGACCCCUUUCCGCAAAUGCAACGUAGAUUUCGCAUAAGUGAAUUGUCCAAACCUUAGCCCAUCUUCAAAAAUGCGAGCAAGCGAUGCUCGCAUUUGCAAGCAGAACCUCACAAAUGAGAGAUCUGUAAGCACCAACAUAGCCUUCCUUCAUCUGUUCCAAACCAUCCACUACGUAUUUGAAACUCACUUGAGCCAUUCGGGCUCCAAUACAAACAUCCCCAAAAGUGUAAUAACAUCAUACAAACUCUCUAGCAUAUUCAAACCAUUAAAAUUACUUCUAAACUCAUGUAUUAAUCACUAAAACUCAAGAUUUUUAAGCUGAAAAACUCAAAUUUUCCAUUUUUCCAUAUAAUGCGCUGAAACGGCCUCUGGUCACCUAGUACCCCAACCAAACGUGCAUUAGUUAGUUAUCGAGCCCGAUGAAGUAUCCCGCAUUUACACAGGGUUCGAUGAAGGGCCACAUCUUAAGGGGUGUGAUGUAGGUAGCCUACCCUGAUGCAAGCAUCAAUGGCUGAUUCCACUGCUUGAACCUGUGACAUAUAGGUCACACAGAGACAACUUUAUCAUUGCUCUAACCAAACAUGCGUACAAGUCAAAAAUCAUCAUACGAACCUACCAGAAUCGCCAAAAUACCGAAAUGAGGUCGUUUACUAAAAACGUUUACGUGGUCAUCUUUACUCAUUUUUAAAGUUACAAAUCACCUUUUCUUUAAAAUUUCACAUAUAAACUUCUCGAAAAUCGACACAUACCGCACAUGCAAGUCAUAAAUCAUCAAAUUGAGUUAUGAAAAGUCUCGAAACAUAGAAAAGGGAGCUAGUACUUAAAAUGACCUACUGGGUCGUUACAUUCUCCAUCUCUAAAAGAAAAGUUCGUCCUCAAACGGAUAUAGAGAUGUAGCUGGACUACCAAAAAUGUGUGGGUAGCUACUACUCAUAUUGGACUAGAAAUCCCAAGUAGACUCCUUAACCGGCUCACCUCUCCAAUGCACUUUCACAGAAGGAAUGCCUUUAGAUCUCAACUUUAGAACCUGCCAAUAAAGAAUAGCCACCGUCUCUUCCUUGUAGGUCAAUUUCUCAUCAAGUUGCAUCAUGCUGGAGUUUAAAACAUGUGACAUAUCUUCAUGGUACUUUCGAAGCAUGAAAACGUGAAAUACUGAAUGUACCCCUGCUAGGUGAGGAGGCGAUGCAAGCCUAUAAGCAACCUCCCCAACUUUCUCCAAGAUCUCAAACGGGCCAAUAAACCUCGGGUACAACUUGCCCUUCUUCCAAAAUCGCAGCACGCCUUUCAUCGGCUAUACUCGAAAAAGAACCUUCUCACCUACCAUGUAAGCCACAUCUCAAACCUUCUGGUCCGCAUACUUUUUUUCCUGGACUGAGUUGUACGAAGCCGCUCCUGAAUAACUUUCACCUUUUCCAAAGCAUCACAAACAAAAUUUGUGCCCAAAAAACUAGCCUCGCCAGUCUCAAACUAUCCAACUGGAGAAUGAAAUCAACUCCUAUAUAAGUCCUCGCACAAAGCCAUCUGGAUGCUUGACUGACAGAUAUUGUUGUAGGCGAAUUCUGCUUGAGGUGAAAACUAGUCCCACUAACGCCAAAGUCCAUAAAGCAUUCCCGCAACAUAUCCUCCAAAAUCUUAAAAGUAUGCGCACUCCGACUGUCCGCCAGUCUGAGGAUGAAAUGCGGUACUCAGCUCGACCAGUAUGCCCAACUCAUGCUGCACAACUCUCUAAAAGUGUGAUGUGAAUUGCAUGCCACGAUCUAAAAUAAUAUAAAUAGGCACACCGUACAAGCGGAUAAUCUUUUGGAUGCAAAUAUGAGCCAAUUUCUUUGAAGAAUAAGAUGUCAUCACCAGAAUAAAGUGUGCGGACUUAGUCAAUCCGUCCACAAUAACCCAAACAACAUCAUACUUUCUCAAGGUCCGUGGUAAGCCUACCAUUAAGUUCAAAGUGAUGCGCUCUCAUUUACACUCUGGUAUCACCAACUUUUGAGUCAGACCCCCUAGUUUAUGAUAUUCAUACUUCACCUAUUGAUGGCUCAAACGCCGAAAGACAUGCCAAACAAUGUCUUUCUUCAUCUUUCACCACCAAUAGUACUGCUUCAAGUCCUGAUGCAUCUUCGUGACACCUAGGGUGAAUUGAAUACCACGAACUCUGAGCCUUCUCAAGGAUCAACUCACUUAACCCAUAAACAUUCAAAACACAUAUCAACCUUGAAGCGGCAUAACACUCCAACCACAAUCUCAUUGGAACCACCUUGCUGCACCAUGUUUUUCAACACCAACAAGUGAGUAUUAUCAAACUGGCGAGCCUUGAUACGCUCCAACAAAGAUGACUAGGCCAAAACACAAUCAAGAACCCUACUAGGCUCUAAAAUAUCCAAUCUUACGAACCAGUUAGCCAAAGCUUGAACAUACGUGUCUAAUAGCCUCUCCCCUGCUAGUAUAAAUGUCAAACUGCCUAUGCUCUCCGCCUACUCAAGGCAUCGACCACCACGGUGGCCUUUUUCGGAUGAUAUACUAUGGUUAUAUCAUAAUCUUCAAAUAGCUCUAACCAUAUCCGCUACCUCAAAUUAGAAUCCUUCUGUUUGCAUAAAUGCUAGAUAAUUCGAUGGUUGGUGUAGACUUUGGUUGGAAUACCGUGUAGAUAGUGCCUCCAAUUCUUGAGGGAGUGGAAAAUGAAUUCAAACUAUAAAUCAUGCAUAGGGUAGUUCUUCUCAUGGACCUUUAUAUAAUGAUAUGCGUAGGCAAUCACUUUACACCAUGCAUUAAUACCGCGCCAAGUCCAAUAUGCAAUGCAUCACAAUAUAUAGUGUAAGAUCCUGAACCUGUGAGCAAUACCAACACUGGAGAUAUAGUCAAGGCAGUCUUGAACUUUUGAAAAGCUCUCCUCACACUCGCUGGACCAUCUAAAAAGAUCACCCUUAUGCGUCAACUUGGUCAAUGGGUCUUAAAUAGGCGAAACCCCUCCACGAACCAAAAAUAGUAGCCCGCCAAAGCCACAGAGCUCUGAAUCUCUAUUGAUGAAGUAAUUUAGGGUCCACCUUGAUACCUAUGAAAGACACAACAUGACCUAAAAAGGAAAUUGAGUCUAACCAUAACUCACAGUUCUAAAACUUGGCAUAUAACUGAUGAUCCUUAAAGGUCAGAAGUACAAUUUGUAGUUGCUGCACAUGAUUCUCUCUACUUUGAGAGUAAUCCAGAAUAUCAUCAAUGAAGACAAUCACGAAGGGAUCUAGAUAAGGCUUGAACACCCGGUCCAUCAAAUCCAUAAAGGUUGCUGGAGCAUCAUUCAAGCCAAAUGAUAUCACCAAGAACUCGUAGUAACCACAUAGUCCCAAAAGUUGUCUUAUGGACAUUCAAUGCCCUAAUUUUCACAUGAUAGUAGCCAGAUCUGAAAUCAAUCUUGGAAAAUACCUUGUCGCCCUGAAGCUAGUCAAAUAAAUCAUCGAUCCUAGGUAAAAAAUACAUGUUCUUGAUAGUGACCUUGUUCAACUAUCAAUAAUCCAUGUACAUCCUCAUUGAUUUGAACUUCUUUUUAACAAAUAACAUCGUUGCACACUAAGGUGAAAUACUCAGUUUAAUAAACCAUUUGUCAAGCAAAUUGUACUGAUUCUUCAAUUUUUUCAACUCAACUGAAGCCAUACAAUAUGGUGGAAUAGAAAUAUGCUGUAUGCCGAAAAUAAAUCAAUGCAAAAGUUGAGCCACCCCAACUAGUAGAGCUGAUGUAGUGUGAUAACCAGGAGCCAUCCGCUCUAGAUUGUAACUAUCAGUGUCUGAGCUCCUCUCCCGCCUGAGAAAUAGCUAGUUCCACAUGUGACACACUAUCCUGAGCUAUACUUUCCAUGAGACUAACCAUCCAGACUAAGGCAUCCUGAUGCACUAGUUAGAGAUGAACCCCUUUGGGACCUAAGCUGGUCCCACUAGCUCUGUAAAAAUAUGGAUCUCAUCAUCCUGCUCUAUUUGAUGCUCGGCAAAGGGUGCCCUUGCACGCACUAUAAGUUCAACUCUGCCUCUACCUUUAGCUAUACCUCAACCCCUACUCCUACCCCUAGUAGUGGCUCCAAACUAGGGCUGUGGAUCUUAAUCAGCUGCGGAUGACGUAUGCGUCCUCGUCAUAUAUGAGAGUAAGAAAAGAAUGAUUUAAAAUUAAUGAUAGAAUACAGUCGCUCGAUAGAGAAAGAAAUACUGAUAUUCCCUAAAUCUUUAUAGCCUCUAGAAGAUAAAUGCAUAUAUCUCGGUACCGAUCCUUAAGACUCCACUAAGUUUUCUCAUGAAAUUUCAGACAUAUGUAAUCUAGGGUUGUGAUAAAAACUUAUCACGACCCAAAAUCUCAACCAGUCAGUUGUGAUGGCGCCUAAAACCGUUUUCUAGGCAAACUAACAUAUAACAGAUAGUACGAAAUGAAUUGCAAUUUACGACUAACAGCAAGAUAACAACAUAAAGUAAAAGUAAAUAGAACUAUAUACAUAGUUAGUCUAGAACUAAUAUCUACGCAAAUCAUCCCAAGAUGUGGAGUUACAAGUACAUGAGCUUCUAGAGUUUACUACAUAUACUAUUUUGAAAUAAUUACAAUACUAUCUGAAAAAUGCAAUAACCGAUUGGUCUUUUUGAGCAUUUCCAUUUCAUUAGAUGAUUUAAUGUCUUGAGUGGGUUCAUAUGAUUUAAUAUGGAUACAUGUAUGGUUAGUUUUAGUUGUUGCCCGUUUCGGUAUUUGAUUUGGAAGAAUGAUUUUCAAUUAAGAGGCUUUAGUGUUAAAAGGGUUAAACAAGUUAGACUUUCAUGUGUUUGACCUUGGAUUGGAGUUUUGAUAGUUCCACUGCUUCGUAUGGUAAUUUUGGACUUAAGCGUAUGCUCGGAAUUGUAUUAGGAGGUUCUUAGAUUGAUUUGGCUAUUUGUUUUAUGAAAGUCGACAAUUUGAAGGUUAGAAAUUUCUUAAAAUUUACCAUGGGUUGACUUUGUGGCUACCAGGUUUAGAUUUUGGCUUUAGGAUUUGAAAUGUUUGUUUUUUCAUUUGUGACUCGUGUACAAAUUUGGUGUCAUUUUGAAUUGGUUGGUAAGGAUCAGAUUCUUUUGUAAUUAUAGUGCUUCUUGAGUUUCAUUAUGACUUCUAUUUGCUUUGGGGUUCGAUUUGUGGUUUCUUAUGUUAUUUUGGUGUUUUGAUCUUACGAGAAAGUUUAUAUGAUGUUUAUGUACUUCUGUGGAUGUUUGGUGUAGAGACCUAGGGGGAUGGGGUGAGCUUCAGAUGUGUUCUACAGUAUUUUGUGUGAGGUUCAGUUUUGCUAGUGCUGGGUUGAUGUUGUAGGUAUCAAAAAUGCGAGAUCAUGUCCGCAUUUACGAGGAGGGAAUCACAUUUGUAAGGUGGUCUGGGGGGCUCGAUAGUUCGCAUUUGCGAACACUUUGAUUGCAUUUGCGAUGAACAUUUGGGCUAGGGCUAAUCGCAUUUGCGAUCAAACUAUCGCUUCUGCAAAGGAGUCCGUGUUCGCUUUUGCUAGAUGUGUUUUCUUUUGCGAUGGGCCAUUGGAGGGAGAAACUUCGCAUUUUUGAAGUAUAUUAUCGCAAAUGCAACAUUUGCAGGGACUGUUAGCGGCCGCUUUUGCGAACCUUCGUUCGCUUUUGUUAAGGUCGCAUUUGCGAACCCCUGGUUGCAUUUGCAAUUACGGCUGGAAUUUCAGAAUUAGUAUCAUUUUAUCACAUUUUUGAGCUCUAGACUUGGUAGGAUAUGACUUUUGGAGAAAAUUUUCAUACAAAGCUAUUGGGUAAGUGAUUUUGACUCACUUUUGAUAUUAUAACAUGUUAAUUAUGAAUUUUAAAAUCUAAUCCAUGAGAUUUAAAGGAAACUUUUAUGGAUUUUUUACUAUGUUUUGAAAAAUAAAAAUUUGGGAUUUAAGAUUCGAUUUGGAUUUUAAACCAAAUACAUAUUUGGACUCGUAGGGUUAUGAGUAGUCAAGAUCUACCAUUUGACUCAGGUUUUGACGGGAUGAGCUAGGGAUUGACUUAUGUUGACUUUUGGAGAAUGUUUAUAGAUCUUAACUUUAUUAAUCGAAUUUGGUUUCUCUUACAUUGUUUGAUAUUAUUAAGUCAUUUUUGGAUAGAUUCGAGCCGAGAUGGUUUCUAAAGGAAAAUCAAUUUUAGAUUUUUUAUUGAGGACUUUUGAAGUAAGUGUCUUGUCUAAUCUUGUGUGAGGAAAUUACCCCUUAGUAUUUGUCUUAAUUGGUUAUUUAUGAUAUGUGUGAUCGAUCUGUACACAAGGUGAGCAGUGUGUACAUGGUCAUAUGUGUGAUUUAUGACCGUAUUUGACCCGAGGUUGCUCUUAUCACUUUGCUUUGAUUGAAAUGCGUAUGCUUUACAUGUAUUCAUUUUGAAUGAUUACUUGAGUUUGUGUUCCAAGUUAGGGAUCAUGCUAUAGGAUUGUAUUUCUAAAUUGGUUAAGCUGGACAUGUUAGAUUGUCACUUAUUUGAGUUAGUUUUUAUGCUUAUAUGUUGAACACCUAUGUGCAUUUUUAUUUAUUUAUUUGUCCUUGUGCACUACGUUGGCCGAUUGUGAGUUUAUGUCUUGAUGAUAAUUGUUGGCAUGUUUUAUUGUUAUGAUUAUGGCAUAUGUGGACUUGUUGGGAGUAUUGAUCAGAUAUUUGCACGAGGUUUUUGUCGUGCUAUUAUUAUUGUUGCUAUUGUAUGCAAUGAGACAAGUUGGGCUAUAUAUAUAGGAUUGCGCACAUGACGAGAUAAGAUGGGAUAAUUUUUAAUACGUAUGUGGUGAGACAAAGGAGGCAUUUACUUUAUUGUUUCUCAUACAAUGAGAUAAUAGUGGAGAUGUGGGGAUGAUAUGCAAUGGUCCAGGGGUGUUUUAUUGGUAAUGUGUGUGUGGUGAAAAAAGAAUAUUCUUGUUUGUGCUUAUGAAUUCUUUGUGUGUGUCAUGAAUGUUUACGUGAUUUGUUGGUUAGUUUCCAAUGUGCUUAUCUGCGUCUUUGUUAUUGCUUGAUGAUUUGAUUGCCAAUAUGCAUUUUUCUACAUGGAGUUGCGAUCUUAUAUUCUAUUGAGUUGUUGAUAACAUAACGGAUUCAAGUAAAAAAUUAAAGUCGUUAUCAUGAUUUACUUUAUUUGGUUCUUGAUAAAUUCCAGUGAAUAUGGUAUUAGUAACUGACAGGAGUGCAAUAUAUGUGGUGACAUGAGUUUUUUAUCGGACGAGUGUGACUUAUAUCGUGGCACGAGGACUUUUCCAUGCGAGUGUGACUUAUGUGGUGUCAAGAAGUAUUAGUCGUGCGAGGGUGAUUGAUAAUGUGUGCACGAGGUUCCAUACAUGUGUGAUUCUAUUUGAUGACUCCUUGUCGAAACUGGACCUUUAUUUAUUCUAAAUUUUUAUCACUUGUAUUGAAAAGAUUACAGUUAUCACUUUUGUGAUUACAUUACUCCAUCGAGGUUAGUCUUGAUACUUACUGUGUAUUAACUGUGGUAUACUCAUACUAUACUUCUGCACCUUUUCGUACAGAUCCAGAUACUUCAGAUUAUGUUAGCUAUUAGAGAGUUGUGCCCGUGCGGUUGGAGCCUUCAAUGUAUACAUGUUGUUCCGUUUCAUAAGCCUUGAAGUCUCCAUCUUUCUUCUUUCAUGCUAUUUUUUAAUUGUAUCCCAAAAAGUGUUGUAUUUUGAGAUUUUAUUGUACUAUCUGUAUAGCUUAUGACUUAGUAUUAUCGAAUUUUGAGAUUUAUGUGAUUGUUGUAUUCCGCUUUUGGUCAUUAUGGUACUUUUCCAUUUUCGUUAAUAUUUGAGUUAGUGUUUGGUUCUGUUAAAUCUUACUAUGUAAUAGGCUUACUUAGUCUUAGGAAUUAGGUGUCAUCACGAUCCUUAACGUUAAAUUUUGAGUCAUGACAGAAAAGUAGAAUAGUACAACAGAAAUAGGAAGGUGACUUCAAGGCCUGCGAUUGAAAUAUAACUCUACCUCUAAUCACCCGUCUGAUAUCUGCUAAGCACAUUUUAGGACUCCGUUGGUACCAAGAUCCGGAUCUACAAACAAAUGUAGAAGUAUGGUAAGAGUACAAACGACUCAAUAUACUCAAAAAAAUAUCGGACCUAACCCCCAACGAGGUAGUGACAAGAUUAAGACAAAAUACCUACAAUAAAUAUAUACAAUUAUAUAUCAAAAAGUAACGAUAUAAUAGAUAAAAUAUCAUUUAUAACAACGUGAUAAGGGCAUGUGAAAGGGAUAACAAGUACACAAGUAAAGAGAUAAUAAAUGGAAACAUAUUUUAAAGUGUCACUGAGUAAACUUCUUUCAAAAGUAAAUAAUGAAGCCAAAAAGCUAAGUCCACAUUUCGAAUAUUGAAGUAAGAGUAAUGAAAUUAAUAAACUGUACGGCAUCACCCUUCAUGUAUUUACUUUCAUCAUACAUCAUAAUAUAAAAACAAGCAUGAAAACAUCCUAUGUGCAUAUCCUCACGUUCACUUAGGCACGAAAGUACACUUCAUGUAAUAUUAUCAGUAUAUAAAUAAGGCACAAAAUAUCUUUCGUGCAUAAUCACUUUUCCUCACAAUUACAUCAACACCCUUCAUGCAUUUCACUCUUCCUCACAAGUACGACAAUACCCUUUGUACAUUUUGCUCUUCCUCACCAAACAUCACAUACAAUACGAUACCAACCAAGGAAAACAAAUUCAAUAUCAACAAUGGUAUUUGAACACAAUUCGUCAUAUGAGAAUUUUCUAAUAAUUAGCACCAACAACCAAUCAACACUUCAAUGAUAUCAACAUCAAUAUCUCAGUAUAGAAAAUAACAUGAAUACAAAAAAUUAUAGAAUUAAACAAUUUGUCUAAAGCAUGGGAAACAUAAAACACAAAGUAUCAUGGAACAAGUAAGACUAAUUAAUGCUACCUGCAUGCUUAUCCCAUGGACAACACAUAUACGUCUGUCACCUUGUAUAUACGCCACCCCCAAUACAUAAAUCACAUAAAAAAUAGACUCGAUUCUACCUUAUUUUCCUCAAAUUAAGUUUAAAUAAGACACUUAUCUCUUUUCGGAUCACAGUUAACAAUCCAACACGGAUAUUUUUAAGACAAGACUUCAAAGCAACCGUACCUAGUCAAUUAUUGUUCAAAUAGGUCAAAAUAAGCUUUAGAAACUACCCUCGGAUAAAAAAAAAAUCAAUCUUUGAUAUAAUUAAAAAAGUCAACAAAAAAGUCAAUACGGGCCCACGUGGUUCAAAAUUCAAAAUUAACACCUAACACGAUUACCCAUUCAUCCCGAGCCCGAAUAUAUGAUUUAUUUCAAAAUCCAACCUCAAUUUGAGGUCUAAAUCUCAAUUUUACAAAAUCCUAAAUUUCACCAAAAAUCUCCAAUUUCUACUUUGAAAUUCUCAGAUUUGAUAGUGAAAUUCAUGAAAAAGUAAUUGAAAUUUAACAAAAAUAAGUUAAGAUUACUAAUAUAUGAAUUUGGGAAUAAAUUUAUCUCCAAAACUCCCCUUUAUGGAGUCUAGGUAUCAAAAAUAGUAUAAAAUAAGUUAAAUUUCGAAAUUCCCAUAUUUUACCUAGCUACAAAUAUCGCAAUUACGAAGUCUUGUCCGCAAUCGCAAUGUUUGCAAAUGCGAAUCACUAUUCGCAAAAGCGAAUAAUGUCUUAACCAUUCAAGUAUCGCAAUUAUGAAGUAUUGUCCUUAAUUGCAAUGUCCACAAAUGCGAGUAAGUGUUCGCAAAAGAGACAAAACCUUCGCAUUAGCGAAGGUCGUCUCCCUCGCAAAAGGUGAACCAAGCUUAGCAUUUGCAAAGCUGCCCAAACAAAGCCUAGUGCCACAAACGCGAUACUACAGUCGCAAAUGCAAUGAAUCCCCAUCCGUAAAGGCAAUGCAGUCUUCGCAAAAGCGAAGUGCCCAAACCUUAGCCCAUCUUCACAAAUACGAGUCAUCCCUCGCAAAAGCGAUGCUUGCAUAUGCGAGAUGUGCAUGCUAACAACACCAGCUCUCCUUAAGUUGUCCCAAACCAUCCGCAAUGCAUCCGAAACUUACCCAAGCCCCUCGGGCUCCAAUCCGGACAUUCACACAACUGUAAUAAUAUUAUACAAACUCAGUCACAAGCUCAAAUCAUUAAAAUAACAUCUAAAUUCAAAAAUCAAUCACUAAAACUCAGGAUUUUCAAGUUCAGAACUUAAUUUUUCAAAUUUUACAUAAUGCACCGAAACAACCUCGGGUCACCUGGGAUCCCAAACCAAUAUGUGUACAAGCCCAAAAUUUUUUACGAACCUACCUGAAUUGUCAAAAUACUGAACCGAGGUCAUUACUAAAAAUGUUGAUCGUAGUCAACUAUAGUCAUUUUUAAAGUCGAAAAAUCACAUUUUCUUUCAAAAUUUUACUUAUAAACUUUUCAGAAGUCGACACAGGCCACAUACGCAAGUCAUAAAUCAUUAAAUUUAAGUUAUGAAAAGUCUCGAAAUAAAAAAAGAAAAGAAAAUAGUACUCAAAAUGACCUAUUGUGUCGAUAAUACACUAUAUCGAUAACUCUAUCCUGUGAUGUGAUGCCCUACGAAUAUGUUCAAAUCUGGAAAACCUCCACCGUACAUAGGAUAAGAUAAUCUGGUGCUGAAUGCCAGGACAUGAGUCAGUAAGUAUAAUCAAGUUGUUGAAAUUUGAUUGAAAAUUUAGGAGAGGAUGAUGGAUGAUGUCGUACCUCCUCGAGGAAAGAGGUAUUUAUCCAUGCUAAUAAAUGAGCACCAAAUCUUCGAAGUUAGAAGCAGUGCUGUGAAAUUAUUUUAAGAUAUGGUUCCAUGAUUGGCGCCUAAUUUGAGGCAACGUGUACUUGAAACUUUAAGUUUUGCUAUUGAGUAUGCUUGAAACAGAUAAACUAAUUUAAUCUGAACGGUUAGACGUCAAGAUUUGGAUUUAAUGUAGUUAUAAAUGAUUUUAUGAAAAUAUGAACCUAAAAUGUCUCAUCCAAUAAAGCAUAAGUUAUAUUACGCAUGGUAGACUUCCCUUUAAGAGGAUUUAUAAUUGAUGGUCAGAGGGAGCAGGAAGAGUCACUCAAAUUACCUUGUGUUAAAAACAAAUGAACUGGCUCUUUAUAUGUUUGUUUAUCUAUUUACAGAAUGAAAAGUGAAAACCAAAUACAUCACCUUUAAAUCAGUAGAUGUUUGUUUAUCACUUUACCUGUUUAAAGGAAGUGGUGCAUACGCCGCCUUGGAUUUUAAUUCCGCUAAGAUCAUUUGGCUAAAGCCAAUGGUACAAGAUUUGCUUUUCUCUCAACUUUUUAAAAAUUAGAAAAAGUGACUUUAUA
rnacentral:lncRNA from 1 species